rnacentral:rRNA from 1 species
UACGUAGGGCGCGAGCGUUUGUCCGGAAUUAUUGGGCGUAAAGAGCUCGUAGGCGGUCUGUUGCGUCCGCUGUGAAAACUCGGGGCUUAACCCCGAGCCUGCAGUGGAUACGGGCAGACUAGAGGUAGGUAGGGGAGAAUGGAAUUCCCGGUGUAGCGGUGAAAUGCGCAGAUAUCGGGAGGAACGACCGGUGGCGAAGGCGGUUCUCUGGGCCUUACCUGACGCUGAGGAGCGAAAGCGUGGGGAGCGAACAGG